rnacentral:rRNA from 1 species
CGAACGCUGGCGGCGUGCCUAAUACAUGCAAGUUGAGCGCUGAAGGUUGGUACUUGUACCGACUGGAUGAGCAGCGAACGGGUGAGUAACGCGUGGGGAAUCUGCCUUUGAGCGGGGGACAACAUUUGGAAACGAAUGCUAAUACCGCAUAAAAACUUUAAACACAAGGUUUAAGUUUGAAAGAUGCAAUUGCAUCACUCAAAGAUGAUCCCGCGUUGUAUUAGCUAGUUGGUGAGGUAAAGGCUCACCAAGGCGAUGAUACAUAGCCGACCUGAGAGGGGUAUCGGCCACAUUGGGACUGAGACACCGCCCAAACUCCUACGGGAGGCAGCAGUAGGAAAUCUUCGGCAAUGGACGAAAGUCUGACCGAGCAACGCCGCGUGAGUGGAGAAGGUUUUCGGAUCGUAAAACUCUGUUGGUAGAGAAGAACGUUGGUGAGAGCGGAAAGCUCAUCAAGUGACGGUAACUACCCAGAAAGGGACGGCUAACUACGUG